rnacentral:rRNA from 1 species
GGAUUAGGCAUGCAAGUCGCACGAGAAAGGCUUCUUCGGAAGCCGAGUAAAGUGGCGAACGGGUGAGUAAUGCAUAGACAACUUGCCCUUGAGAUGGGGACAACGCCUCGAAAGGGGUGCUAAUACCCAAUGCCGCCUUGGGCCUGCGGGUCCAGGGUGAAAGGAGGCCUCUGACUCAAGCUUCCGCUCAAGGAGAGGUUUAUGUCCUAUUAGCUAGUUGGCGGGGUAACGGCCCACCAAGGCUGCGAUGGGUAGCCGACCUGAGAGGGUGACCGGCCACAUUGGGACUGAGACACUGCCCAGACUCCUACGGGAGGCUGCAGUCGAGAAUCUUCCGCAAUGCGCGCAAGCGUGACGGAGCGACGCCGCGUGGGUGAUGAAGGCCUUCGGGUUGUAAAACCCUGUCAGCUACUACGAAACACGGGCGAUGAACAAUCGUCCCGUCUGACUUAAGUAGCAGAGGAAGCACCGGCUAACUACGUGCCAGCAGCCGCGGUAAUACGUAGGGUGCAAACGUUGUUCGGAAUCACUGGGCAUAAAGGGCGCGUAGGCGGUCUGAUAAGUCAGGUGUGAAAUCCCUCGGCCUAACCGAGGAACUGCAUUUGAUACUGUCGGGCUAGAGUACAGGAGGGGAGAGUGGAAUUCCUGGUGGAGCGGUGAAAUGCGUAGAUAUCAGGAGGAACGCCGGCGGCGAAAGCGACUCUCUGGCCUGUUACUGACGCUGAGGCGCGAAAGCUAGGGGAGCAAACGGGAUUAGAUACCCCGGUAGUCCUAGCCCUAAACGAUGGGCACUAAGUAGAGGGGUUUU